AGGGUUUGAUCAUGGCUCAGAUUGAACGCUGGCGGCAUGCCUAACACAUGCAAGUCGAACGGAAACGAUGGGAGCUUGCUCCCAGGCGUCGAGUGGCGGACGGGUGAGUAAUACUUAGGAAUCUGCCCAGUAGUGGGGGACAACUCGAGGAAACUCGAGCUAAUACCGCAUACGCCCCAAGGGGGAAAGCGGAGGAUCUUUCGGGACUUCGCGCUAUUGGAUGAGCCUAAGUCGGAUUAGCUUGUUGGUGAGGUAAAGGCUCACCAAGGCGACGAUCCGUAGCUGGUCUGAGAGGACGAUCAGCCACACUGGGACUGAGACACGGCCCAGACUCCUACGGGAGGCAGCAGUGGGGAAUAUUGGACAAUGGGGGCAACCCUGAUCCAGCAAUGCCGCGUGUGUGAAGAAGGCCUGCGGGUUGUAAAGCACUUUCAGUAGAGAAGAAAAGCCUAGGGUUAAUACCCCUGGGUCUUGACGUUACCUACAGAAGAAGCUCCGGCUAACUCCGUGCCAGCAGCCGCGGUAAUACGGAGGGAGCGAGCGUUAAUCGGAAUUACUGGGCGUAAAGCGCGCGUAGGCGGCUUUGUAAGUCGGAUGUGAAAGCCCUGGGCUCAACCUGGGAAUGGCAUUCGAUACUGCAUAACUAGAGUAUGGUAGAGGGAAGUGGAAUUUCCGGUGUAGCGGUGAAAUGCGUAGAUAUCGGGAAGGAACACCAGUGGCGAAGGCGACUUCCUGGGCCAAU
rnacentral:rRNA from 1 species